rnacentral:rRNA from 1 species
GGUUGAUCCUGCCAGUAGUUAUAUGCUUGUUUCAAAGAUUAAGCCAUGCAUGUCUAAGUAUAAGCGAACUUAUACAGCGAAACUGCGGAUGGCUCAUUAAAACAGUCUGAAUUUAUUUGAUGAAUGUACGCGAGUACUACAUGGAUAUCCGUAGUAAUUCUAGAGCUAAUACAUGCAGGAACGCCCGAGCGGGGGGCGGCCUGCGCGCGUCGCAAGACGUGUGUGGGGCGCGUGAACGCGCGAGGGUUGUAUUUAUUGGAUACAAAAACCAGACCCGGCAACGGGUUUCGUUU